GCCCCGCCGGAGUAAUCCGGAAGAGGCCUCUUAUUAGGGCUCUGGUGGCGGCGGCGGCAGACACUUGGGGUCUGGACGCAACGGAGGCGGGAGCGUGAACGCCCCUCCAGCCUUCGAGUCGUUCUUGCUCUUCGAGGGCGAGAAGAAGAUCACCAUUAACAAGGACACCAAGGUACCCAAUGCCUGUUUAUUCACCAUCAACAAAGAAGACCACACACUGGGAAACAUCAUUAAAUCACAGUGUGACCUAAAGGACCCGCAAGUGCUAUUUGCUGGCUACAAAGUCCCCCACCCCUUGGAGCACAAGAUCAUCAUCCGAGUGCAGACCACGCCGGACUACAGCCCCCAGGAAGCCUUUACCAACGCCAUCACCGACCUCAUCAGUGAGCUGUCCCUGCUGGAGGAGCGCUUCCGGACGUGCCUGCUUCCCCUUCGCCUUCUGCCGUGAUUGUCAGUUUCCUGAGGCCUCCCCAGCCACGCUUUCUGUACAGCCUGCAGAACUGCCCCACUCACCUCCUCCAACUCCUCUGGGGAAACCCAAGCCCUGCAGCUCAUGGAACAGAAGAAGUGGAACCGACGUUUCUGGAACAGGACUAUCUGAGAGCGGUUCUUCCUGGCCCUCGGGUUCAUGCAACGGCGUAACUGGAACCGACGCUUACGGACCAAGGGAAGUGGAAGAUGUUUUGUUUGGAGUCCUCGUCGUCCUCCUCCAUGUCAUUGGCCAGGUAGCUGAGGACAGGAAUCAGGUUGCUGCUCAGGGGCACCACCAGGAGAGACCUCCGGCUGAGGUCAGCUUCCCAGAGAGGAAGUCCCCUCACCUGAUGGUCCCAACACUUCAUCAUCCACCACCUCCUGGAGGGGGUACCCCGAGGUGCUCCGCUGGGGACUCUGCUCAUUCUGGCGGUGCGGUUGACGGCUGGUCGUGAUCUUUCCCGUAAUCUGUCCCCUCUUACGGAACCUAGUCUCCGUUCUGUCCAUGGCCUUCUUCUGGACACUGCUAGGAUCCAGAAGAGUAUGUUAUCAAUUCUCAAGCCUAGGAGAAGUCAGGAGUGGAGAACAGCUCUGAGAAGAUACUGUUGUCCAACUGAUCUCCAGGCACCACGGAGUCCGGUCCCUCCAAUCAGGAAGGUCGGAAUCUCUGAUGUCAUCGUUCAUGCCAACCUGGCAACCAGUUUGAAAAAAAAACACAUGUAACUGCCAGGCUGAUCUCUUGUCCUGGAGAUCCUGGGUGAAUGGUAUCUCCUGCCACUGUCCCAACCUCAGACCAUUGUCCAAAAGCAUCUUCAGGGACUCCACAUCCCUCUGUUCCCUGUCCCAGCAGAGGCUGUGUCCUCUCCACUCAAAGCCUGAAGCAUGUUGGGGUCUCUUCGUCUCUGUACGUGCCCAUUUCAGAGUCCAGUCUGGUGGGAGAGGGAACAGAGUGGGAAAGAAAACUAGGGUAAGCAGAAACGAUGAAACCUUAUAAGAGUGAGAUUAUCAUGUACAAGAGUGAGAUUAUCAUGUACAAGAGUGAGAUUAUCAUGUACAAGAGAUCCCAGGAAUACUGACUUGAUGAAAAAGUCACAUCAGAGCACUCAGUUUGGCAGAGCUUUUCUGCUGAAUGUUUACUCACAUUCACUGUCCAAGAUUCUGUACUGGGGGUACAUACGUCCUCUGCCCUAAGGCAAUUUUGAGUCCAAGAGACAUUUUGAGGCCUAAAAAUCAUAGGAAACUGCCCCUGAGCUCACACAUAUUUCCAAUGGAGCUCACACAUAUUUCCAAUGGUGUCCCCAAUUUCAGGGAAUCCAUGGAUUACCUAAGCCAGCCCCUCCAGUUCGGCUAAGAAACUCUAGUCUAUAUAUCAAGUUUUGUAUCAUAUGUAUUGCUCUGAACUCAGAAAUUUCCCUUCCAUUUAUGGAUUCUAUGAAUAAAAUAUCACAUGUACAAAAA
ensembl:lncRNA POLR2J4 RNA polymerase II subunit J4 (pseudogene)